UACCGGAUAUUAUGAGAUUCUCGCAUGAGAAACUUAUGAAAGCUAUAUGCGCCAAGAGAGAGCCUUGCGUUCCAUUAGCUAGUUGGUGGGGUAACGGCCCACCAAGGCGACGAUGGAUAGCCGGCCUGAGAGGGUGAACGGCCACAAGGGGACUGAGACACGGCCCUUACUCCUACGGGAGGCAGCAGUGGGGAAUAUUGGACAAUGGGCCACAAGCCUGAUCCAGCAAUUCUGUGUGCACGAUGAAGGUCUUCGGAUUGUAAAGUGCUUUCAGUUGGGAAGAAGAAAGUGACGGUACCAACAGAAGAAGCGACGGCUAAAUACGUGCCAGCAGCCGCGGUAAUACGUAUGUCGCAAGCGUUAUCCGGAUUUAUUGGGCGUAAAGCGCGUCUAGGCGGAAAAAUAAGUCUGAUGUUAAAAUGCGGGGCUCAACUCCGUAUUGCGUUGGAAACUGUUUUUCUAGAGUACUGGAGAGGUGGGCGGAACUACAAGUGUAGAGGUGAAAUUCGUAGAUAUUUGUAGGAAUGCCGAUGGAGAAGUCAGCUCACUGGACAGAUACUGACGCUGA
rnacentral:rRNA from 1 species